rnacentral:rRNA from 1 species
GAUGAACGCUGGCGGCGUGCCUAAUACAUGCAAGUCGAGCGAAUGGAUUAAGAGCUUGCUCUUAUGAAGUUAGCGGCGGACGGGUGAGUAACACGUGGGUAACCUGCCCAUAAGACUGGGAUAACUCCGGGAAACCGGGGCUAAUACCGGAUAACAUUUUGAACCGCAUGGUUCGAAAUUGAAAGGCGGCUUCGGCCGUCACUUAUGGAUGGACCCGCGUCGCAUUAGCUAGUUGGUGAGGUAACGGCUCACCAAGGCAACGAUGCGGAGCCGACCUGGGAGGGUGAUCGGCCCCACUGGGACUGAGACACGGCCCAGACUCCUACGGGAGGCAGCAGUAGGGAAUCUUCCGCAAUGGACGAAAGUCUGACGGAGCAACGCCGCGUGAGUGAUGAAGGCUUUCGGGUCGUAAAACUCUGUUGUUAGGGAAGAACAAGUGCUAGUUGAAUAAGCUGGCACCUUGACGGUACCUAACCAGAAAGCCACGGCUAACUACGUGCCAGCAGCCGCGGUAA